rnacentral:rRNA from 1 species
CGAACGGGAACAAAAUGAAACCUAGUGAUUUUUGUUUUAGUGGCGGACGGGUGAGUAACGCGUGGGUAACCUGCCGUAUACAGGGGGAUAACACUUAGAAAUAGGUGCUAAUACCGCAUAAGCGCACAGCUUCGCAUGGAGCAGUGUGAAAAGCGUAAACGGUAUACGAUGGACCCGCGUCUGAUUAGCUAGUUGGCGGGGUAGAGGCCCACCAAGGCGACGAUCAGUAGCCGGCCUGAGAGGGUGACCGGCCACAUUGGGACUGAGACACGGCCCAAACUCCUACGGGAGGCAGCAGUGGGGAAUAUUGCACAAUGGGGGGAACCCUGAUGCAGCGACGCCGCGUGAGUGAAGAAGUAUUUCGGUAUGUAAAGCUCUAUCAGCAGGGAAGAAAAUGACGGUACCUGACUAAGAAGCCCCGGCUAACUACGUGCCAGCAGCCGCGGUAAUACGUAGGGGGCAAGCGUUAUCCGGAUUUACUGGGUGUAAAGGGAGCGUAGACGGUUAUGCAAGUCUGAAGUGAAAGCCCAAGGCUCAACCAUGGGACUGCUUUGGAAACUGUAAAACUGGAGUGCAGGAAAGGUAAGCGGAAUUCCUAGUGUAGCGGUGAAAUGCG